rnacentral:lncRNA from 1 species
AAGAGCAAAGAGGCUUGUUUCUUUUCUAUCAGCUAACUUGGCACUGACCACAGAGAUCAGGAUCAAGAUGGUUCCUAUGUCCUUUGAUUGUAUCUGGUCCUUUGAUGGUUCCUAUGUCCUUUGAUUGUACUUGGUCAGUAUCUUAUCUUGCCUGUUUCAUUCAAUCACCCUUUUUCUGAUCUUGGGACAGCAGAUAGUGUCGCAGUAUCUGCUGACAGUUUUUUUUUCUUUUUGUAUGGUAACUAAUAGCACAGAAAGAACUUGAAUCUUUGCCAGCCUCCUACACAUCUUUUGGGGUUAGUAAGUUAUAUAGUCCCUAUAUGCAGCUCAUAGCCAGAGAAGUCCAGGACCAACUGUUCUGAAGGUUUCAUUUUAUGAAAUGAGAGCUUACCCACUCCUUUCCAGCCAAGAGAGAACUGGAGGUGGGUUAAAACCACGAGGCAGAUGACUUGUGAGGUACUGAGAGCAAGAGAAGAUUACAUCUUCAGAGCAUACUAGCAAUUCAAGAUCCUAGAAAGGCCAGCCUGUUAUCCACAGGAUCAGCAUAGGACCUGACCACACGUGCCUGGUACAGAUGGAAGCAGCAGCACUCAUUCCUCUCCUUGGAGUUCACUGGGAGGGAAGAUUGAGCUUUGGAGGCAGGCAAGAGUACGUCUUCUUAUAGGACUGCUGAGAUAUGCAAAGACUGUAGCUGAGCACCAACAACAUCUGGAGAAAUGACAAAAGAGAAAUAGGACAGAGUUUACUUCAGCUAAAAAGAACAGAAGGCUUCUCUAGCACAAGUUUUCAGUUGAAGCAAUCCAACUGCUACCAUAAAGGGUAUGUGUUUUUUAACUCUAUUACUUUGUAGUUGUUUUCUUACAUGC